rnacentral:rRNA from 1 species
AGAGUUUGAUCAUGGCUCAGGACGAACGCUGGCGGCGUGCUUAAUACAUGCAAGUCGAGCGAGGUUACUGUUUUGGAUCCCUUCGGGGUGAAGAAGCUUUAACCUAGUGGCGGACGGGUGAGUAACACGUGAGCAACCUGCCCGACAUACUGGGAUAACAGCGGGAAACCGUUGCUAAUACCGGAUACUCCAUUUCUGGCGCAUGUCAGAGAUGGGAAAGGGUUUACCGAUGUCGGAUGGGCUCGCGUCCCAUUAGCUGGUUGGUGAGGUAACGGCUCACCAAGGCUGCGAUGGGUAGCUGGUCUGAGAGGGUGGACGGCCACACUGGGACUGAGACACGGCCCAGACUCCUACGGGAGGCAGCAGUAGGGAAUAUUGCGCAAUGGACGGAAGUCUGACGCAGCGACGCCGCGUGAGCGAUGAAGGUCUUCGGAUCGUAAAGCUCUGUCCUUGGGGAAGAAGGUCUUCGGACUUGACGGUACCCAAGAAGAAAGCCCCGGCUAACUACGUGCCAGCAGCCGCGGUAAU